rnacentral:rRNA from 1 species
AAAAAAAAACCAGAAAAGAAAUGGGA